UGGGGAAUAUUGCACAAUGGGCGCAAGCCUGAUGCAGCCAUGCCGCGUGUAUGAAGAAGGCCUUCGGGUUGUAAAGUACUUUCAGCGGGGAGGAAGGGAGUAAAGUUAAUACCUUUGCUCAUUGACGUUACCCGCAGAAGAAGCACCGGCUAACUCCGUGCCAGCAGCCGCGGUAAUACGGAGGGUGCAAGCGUUAAUCGGAAUUACUGGGCGUAAAGCGCACGCAGGCGGUCUGUCAAGUCGGAUGUGAAAUCCCCGGGCUCAACCUGGGAACUGCAUUCGAAACUGGCAGGCUAGAGUCUUGUAGAGGGGGGUAGAAUUCCAGGUGUAGCGGUGAAAUGCGUAGAGAUCUGGAGGAAUACCGGUGGCGAAGGCGGCCCCCUGGACAAAGACUGACGCACAGGUGCGAAAGCGUGGGGAGCAAACAGG
rnacentral:rRNA from 1 species